UAGCAUACCAUGGGUGGCGAGUGGCGGACGGGUGAGGAAUACAUCGGAAUCUACCUUUUCGUGGGGGAUAACGUAGGGAAACUUACGCUAAUACCGCAUACGACCUUAGGGUGAAAGCGGAGGACCUUCGGGCUUCGCGCGGAUAGAUGAGCCGAUGUCGGAUUAGCUAGUUGGCGGGGUAAAGGCCCACCAAGGCGACGAUCCGUAGCUGGUCUGAGAGGAUGAUCAGCCACACUGGAACUGAGACACGGUCCAGACUCCUACGGGAGGCAGCAGUGGGGAAUAUUGGACAAUGGGCGCAAGCCUGAUCCAGCCAUGCCGCGUGGGUGAAGAAGGCCUUCGGGUUGUAAAGCCCUUUUGUUGGGAAAGAAAAGCAGUCGGUUAAUACCCGAUUGUUCUGACGGUACCCAAAGAAUAAGCACCGGCUAACUUCGUGCCAGCAGCCGCGGUAAUACGAAGGGUGCAAGCGUUACUCGGAAUUACUGGGCGUAAAGCGUGCGUAGGUGGUUGUUUAAGUCCGUUGUGAAAGCCCUGGGCUCAACCUGGGAAUUGCAGUGGAUACUGGGCAACUAGAGUGUGGUAGAGGAUGGCGGAAUUCCCGGUGUAGCAGUGAAAUGCGUAGAGAUCGGGAGGAACAUCUGUGGCGAAGG
rnacentral:rRNA from 1 species